GCAUGGUGCAAGCGUUAUCCGGAUUUACUGGGUGUAAAGGGAGCGUAGACGGAGUGGCAAGUCUGAUGUGAAAACCCGGGGCUCAACCCCGGGACUGCAUUGGAAACUGUCAAUCUGGAGUACCGGAGAGGUAAGCGGAAUUCCUAGUGUAGCGGUGAAAUGCGUAGAUAUUAGGAGGAACACCAGUGGCGAAGGCGGCUUACUGGAUGGUAACUGACGUUGAGGCUCGAAAGCGUGGGGAGCAAACAGGAUUAGAUACCCUGGUAGUCCACGCCGUAAACGAUGACUACUAGGUGUCGGGCAGCAAAGCUGUUCGGUGCCGCAGCAAACGCAAUAAGUA
rnacentral:rRNA from 1 species